rnacentral:rRNA from 1 species
AAGGGGAUAGUAAGAACCAACAGGGAUUGCUCUAGUAACGGCGAGUGAAGCAGCAAUAGCUCAAAUUUGAAAUCUGGCGUCUUCGGCGUCCGAGUUGUAAUUUGUAGAGGAUGCUUCUGAGUAACCACCGACCUAAGUUCCUUGGAACAGGACGUCAUAGAGGGUGAGAAUCCCGUAUGCGGUCGGAAAGGUGCUCUACACGUAGCUCCUUCGACGAGUCGAGUUGUUUGGGAAUGCAGCUCUAAAUGGGAGGUAAAUUUCUUCUAAAGCUAAAUAUUGGCCAGAGACCGAUAGCGCACAAGUAGAGUGAUCGAAAGAUGAAAAGCACUUUGGAAAGAGAGUUAAAAAGCACGUGAAAUUGUUAAAAGGGAAGGGAUUGCAACCAGACUUGCUCGCGGUGUUCCGCCGGUCUUCUGACCGGUCUACUCGCCGCGUUGCAGGCCAGCAUCGUCUGGUGCCGCUGGAUAAGACUUGAGGAAUGUAGCUCCCUCGGGAGUGUUAUAGCCUCUUGUGAUGCAGCGAGCGCCGGGCGAGGUCCGCGCUUCGGCUAGGAUG